GGCCGGCCCCGGGCUCUCGGCCGCCGCGGGAGGGCGUGGGGCGGGGCGGCGGCCGCCGGACUCUCCCCUCGCCUCGCCGGGCCGGGCCGGGGCCGCGCUCGGGCGCCCGCGAUCACCAAGUGACAGAAGUGCCUCGCUCCGCUGCCGCGCCGAGCUGUUUCCCGGGGGCGGAUUUCUCGCUUCUUCCUCCCUGGAUCCACCUCCUCCCACUCCACCUCCUUCCCCUCCCCUCCCCAGGGGAGGCUCCGGGGCUGAAUAUUUUCUGUCUUGAAUAAUAUGGUCCCGGGAACCAACGCUGGAGAAGGGGGAUUAGCCUGGGGCGGGGUGAGGGGUGAUCGCCAACCCCCUCCCAAUGUGUGUCGGGACCUACAAGCCCUCGCCGCCCCCAACACCUCCCCCAAAGCCAGACACACAAAACCCUCCCCGCCUUCGCCAAUCUCUCGAGCUCAGAGCGGGAGCGGCCAGGAACCCGGGCUUCUGCUGCGGAAGGCUCGGUGCUCCGCGUCAGGGCCCGGGAGGGGGACCUUCAUACAGCCAGAUACCCAGAAUUGGGGGAUCCCAGGUCCCAGACGGCGGGGGACACGUCUGGCCUCCUGCUGUGGUUCUGCAGUGGCUGCCGGAUCCACUCAAAGAUAAGUCACCCACUGUGUCUUUGUAGAAAUGGAAAAUCUAGAGCGCAAAUCUAAUCAAAGAUGAAUGGGAAGAAAAUUAAAAGGAUGAAGUAAGAGUUUUAAACUGGGGAGGAAUGGGGAAGAGGAAACAAAGAAAUGAUUAUUGUAGAAGACAAUUCACCCCAGGAAACAGAAGAAAAAUAGAGACAAAUGUUCUCCACCUGGAAGGAAAUCAAAUAUAUCAAAAGUUAAAUGAAAAAAAAAGAAAGAAAGAUAAAGGCGUUCCUGCCGUGGCUCAGUGGUUAAUGGACCCAGCUAAUAUCCAUGAGGAUGCAGGUUCGAUCCCUGGCCUUGCUCAGUGGGUUAGGGAUCUGGCGUUGAUGUGAGCUGUGGUGUGGGUUUGCAGACGAGGCUCAGAUCCCGUGUUGCUGUGGCUGUGGUGUAGGCCGCAGCUAUAGCUCUGAUUUGACACCCAGCCUGGGAACUGCCGUAUACCAUGGGUGCUGCCCUAAAAAGACCAAAAAAAAAAAAAAAAAAAAAAUCCGCUGAGCCACAAGGGGAACUCCCAGGACCAUCUCCUUUGACUCAGAGAUGGAAGUCACUGUGGAAGCUGGCACAGACAUCGCAGCAGGCCUGAACUGCCUACUUCUGGAUUGUUACCAGAAACAGACAAAACCUUCUAUGUCACCAUAAGGACCAUCGUAUUUUAAAAAUCUUUUUGG
rnacentral:lncRNA from 1 species